UUCUGAAGCUAAUAGGACAUUUUUACUUUCGAUGACCUCCAUAUUUACGACUUGUAUACGUGUUAAAACGUACCUAUACUUCUCGUCCAGAACUUUCGUUCCAAUACCACUCGUCCCAAAAAUCCUCGAAAAUAACCUCUGCCUCGAUGUUCUAAACGAAUUGCUCUUAAUUUUUUAUCCCUUAUAUUAUGUCGUAGGUUGUUUAUAACUUGUGAAAAAUCCGAUUCAGAAUCUAUCUAACUAUCGUCGAGAGCUACUUUCGAGUGGAAAGACCUUUUAUUUUAAGCACGGACUAUAUUUAGUCAGGUGGAAAUCAGCGAGACUUAGCUCGUGCUAAGAAUUUAAAGAAGACUCAGAAGAAAGCAGCUGGAGAACAAGAUAGUAAUAAGGGAUUGACACUGGAACAACGAAAACAACGUGAUGCUGAGAGAAUGAGAGAGAAGCAA